ACGAACGCUGGCGGCACGCUUAACACAUGCAAGUCGAACGAGAGAAGAGGAGCUUGCUUUUCUGAUCUAGUGGCGGACGGGUGAGUAACACGUGAGCAAUCUGCCUUUCAGAGGGGGAUACCGAUUGGAAACGAUCGUUAAUACCGCAUAACAUAAUUGAACCGCAUGAUUUGAUUAUCAAAGAUUUAUCGCUGAAAGAUGAGCUCGCGUCUGAUUAGCUAGUUGGUAAGGUAACGGCUUACCAAGGCGACGAUCAGUAGCCGGACUGAGAGGUUGAUCGGCCACAUUGGGACUGAGACACGGCCCAGACUCCUACGGGAGGCAGCAGUGGGGAAUAUUGCACAAUGGAGGAAACUCUGAUGCAGCGAUGCCGCGUGAGGGAAGAAGGUUUUAGGAUUGUAAACCUCUGUCUUCAGGGACGAAAAAAGACGGUACCUGAGGAGGAAGCUCCGGCUAACUACGUGCCAGCAGCCGCGGUAAUACGUAGGGAGCGAGCGUUGUCCGGAAUUACUGGGUGUAAAGGGAGCGUAGGCGGGAUCGCAAGUCAGAUGUGAAAACUAUGGGCUUAACCCAUAAACUGCAUUUGAAACUGUGGUUCUUGAGUGAAGUAGAGGUAAGCGGAAUUCCUAGUGUAGCGGUGAAAUGCGUAGAUAUUAGGAGGAACAUCAGUGGCGAAGGCGGCUUACUGGGCUUUAACUGACGCUGAGGCUCGAGAGCGUGGGGAGCAAACAGGAUUAGAUACCCUGGUAGUCCACGCCGUAAACGAUGAUUACUAGGUGUGGGGGGACUGACCCCUUCCGUGCCGCAGCAAACGCAAUAAGUAAUCCACCUGGGGAGUACGACCGCAAGGUUGAAACUCAAAGGAAUUGACGGGGGCCCGCACAAGCAGUGGAGUAUGUGGAUUAAUUCGAAGCAACGCGAAGAACCUUACCAGGUCUUGACAUCGUAUGCAUAGCUCAGAGAUGAGUGAAAUCUCUUCGGAGACAUAUAGACAGGUGGUGCAUGGUUGUCGUCAGCUCGUGUCGUGAGAUGUUGGGUUAAGUCCCGCAACGAGCGCAACCCUUACUGUUAGUUGCUACGCAAGAGCACUCUAGCAGGACUGCCGUUGACAAAACGGAGGAAGGUGGGGAUGACGUCAAAUCAUCAUGCCCCUUAUGACCUGGGCCUCACACGUACUACAAUGGCUGUCAACAGAGGGAAGCAAAGCCGCGAGGUGGAGCGAACCCCUAAAAGCAGUCUUAGUUCGGAUUGUAGGCUGCAACCCGCCUACAUGAAGUCGGAAUUGCUAGUAAUCGCAGAUCAGCAUGCUGCGGUGAAUACGUUCCCGGGCCUUGUACACACCGCCCGUCACGCCAUGGGAGUCGGUAACACCCGAAGCCUGUAGUCUAACCGCAAGGAGGACGCAGUCGAAGGUGGGAUUGAUGACUGGGGUG
rnacentral:rRNA from 1 species